GUCAGCAGCCAUAUCACCCUGCAUCGCAAGACUGGUUGCCCACUGAAGCUAAGCAGUGUUGAGCCUCUUCAGUACCUGGAUGGGAGACCUCCUGGGAAAACUAGGUUGCUGCCUGAUC
rnacentral:rRNA from 1 species